GCAGUCGACGCUGAAGCCUGGUGCUUGCACCGGGUGGAUGAGUGGCGAACGGGUGAGUAACACGUGAGUAACCUGCCCCUGACUUCGGGAUAAGCCCGGGAAACUGGGUCUAAUACCGGAUACGACUGCCGGACGCAUGUCUGGUGGUGGAAAGUUUUUUCGGUUGGGGAUGGGCUCGCGGCCUAUCAGUUUGUUGGUGAGGUAAUGGCUCACCAAGACGACGACGGGUAGCCGGCCUGAGAGGGCGACCGGCCACACUGGGACUGAGACACGGCCCAGACUCCUACGGGAGGCAGCAGUGGGGAAUAUUGCACAAUGGGGGAAACCCUGAUGCAGCGACGCAGCGUGCGGGAUGACGGCCUUCGGGUUGUAAACCGCUUUCAGCAGGGAAGAAGCGCAAGUGACGGUACCUGCAGAAGAAGUACCGGCUAACUACGUGCCAGCAGCCGCGGUAAUACGUAGGGUACGAGCGUUGUCCGGAAUUAUUGGGCGUAAAGAGCUCGUAGGUGGUUGGUCACGUCUGCUGUGGAAACGCAACGCUUAACGUUGCGCGUGCAGUGGGUACGGGCUGACUAGAGUGCAGUAGGGGAGUCUGGAAUUCCUGGUGUAGCGGUGAAAUGCGCAGAUAUCAGGAGGAACACCGGUGGCGAAGGCGGGACUCUGGGCUGUAACUGACACUGAGGAGCGAAAGCAUGGGGAGCGAACAGGAUUAGAUACCCUGGUAGUCCAUGCCGUAAACGUUGGGCACUAGGUGUGGGGGGCAUUCCACGUUCUCCGCGCCGUAGCUAACGCAUUAAGUGCCCCGCCUGGGGGAGUACGGUCGCAAGGCUAAAACUCAAAGGAAUUGACGGGGGCCCGCACAAGCGGCGGAGCAUGCGGAUUAAUUCGAUGCAACGCGAAGAACCUUACCAAGGCUUGACAUACACCGGACCGUCCUGGAAACAGGUCCUCUUCUUUGAAGCUGGUGUACAGGUGGGUGCAUGGUUGUCGUCAGCUCGUGUCGUGAGAUGUGUUGGGGUUAAGUCCCGCAACGAGCGCAACCCUCGUUCUAUGUUG
rnacentral:rRNA from 1 species